rnacentral:rRNA from 2 species
CGGAGGAAAAGAAACUAACAAGGAUUCCCCUAGUAACUGCGAGUGAAGCGGGAAAAGCUCAAAUUUAAAAUCUGGUGGUCUUUGGCCAUCCGAGUUGUAAUCUAGAGAAGUGUUAUCCGCGCUGGACCG